UACAGAGGGUGCUAGCGUUGUUCGGAAUCAUUGGGCGUAAAGAGCGUGUAGGCGGUUUGGUAGGUCCGCUGUGAAAACUCGAGGCUCAACCUCGAGACGCCGGUGGAAACCAUCAGGCUAGAGUCCGGAAGAGGAGAGUGGAAUUCCUGGUGUAGCGGUGAAAUGCGCAGAUAUCAGGAAGAACACCCGUGGCUAAGGCGGCUCUCUAGUACGGUACUGACGCUGAGACGCGAAAGCGUGGGGAGCGAACAGG
rnacentral:rRNA from 1 species